AUUUAGUCCAUUAUCAUCAUGGUCAGAAACAUGUUGGCAUGGAGUCAGACAGGGUGCUGGAGAAGUCGCAGAGAGUUCUACAUCUGGAUCUACAGGCAGCAGAGGGGGGGCGCAGGCAGACAGACACUGGUCUGGCUUGAGCUUUUGAAACCCCAAAGCCCACCCUAAGUGACACACUUUCCUAGGCCACACCUCCUAUGGGCUACCCUCUAGGGGCCUAUGGAAGCCAUUUUUAAUCAAACCACCACAUUCCCCAAAAGAGGCAGUUACCACAAGCCAUCUUGCCACAUUUUCCCCCAGUUUCUCAAGCCUGGGUUCAAAUAAAGUCAUGUCUGUUACCUUUGUAGGCCCAAGGGUUGAGCAAUCACAGUAGACACUGAAGUUGUGUCUGAUUAAGUCUCUCAACUGAUUACUGGCGUGCUCUCUGAAUGUAAUCAGAGGGUUAGCAAGACCCAUGAUCCUGGGAUUCUUCCAGCACAAGCUGUUGGUGGCCCCGUGUUCAAAGCAUUGGGGACAUUUCCAACAUGUCUUGGUUACUGAUCUAUUGCUCUGAAAAGACACCGUGAUCAAGACGAUUUAUAAAGUAAAGCUUUUAACUUGGGGUUUGCUUAUAGUUCCAGAGGGUAAGUUUAUGACCCUCAUGACAUGGUAUCUUGAUAAGAGACUAGUAAUAUAGUUUAGCUAGCCCAAUAGAUCUAAAAUGUUACCAUUUCAUCACUCAGUAUAAAAACAUAUAUUUAAUGUCCCUUUCUUUAGGUGUGUGUGUGUGUGUGUGUGUGUGUGUGUGUGCCUGAGUGUGAGCACUUGUUGUACCAGUUCUAGAAAUGGGGCUCAAGUAAUCUUUAAGAGCACUGCUUGCUCUUAAUCUCAAAUCAUCUCUCUAGCCCUCAUAUUCCUCUUUUUUUUUUUUUUGUAAUGUAGUAUGUAACUUACACUUAAGAGCACAUACCAUUUAGACUAGCCCAAGUGCAAUUGCUUAAUGAUAACAUGUGGCUAGGAGCUACCCCAUCAGACCACACAGUUGUAGUUCUUCACAGAAGAUUCUGCGAAGACGGAACAGUCACCAAAUUGCAGGAACCUUCUUGGUGGUUUUCAUCCUGAUCCUUCACGGAGUUUCCAACACCAUCAUUUCCAGGCUCCUCUGAGGUCCACCAAGGCAAGACACAGCCAAGAACGCUGCAGAGAAGAGGAGGCCCCGUUCCAUGAGCCGCCUCUGCCAGUCCUAUGUUGACCCCACACAGCCUUUCUAAGGUGCAAGUUCAGACUCUCAAACUUACCAGAGCCUGGCCCACAUCAGAUUCAUGGAAAACAUCUAUCUCCA
rnacentral:lncRNA from 1 species